UUGACGGGGCCGCGACAAGCGGUGGAGCAUGUGGUUUAAUUCGACGCAACGCGAAGAACUUACCAGGGCUUGACAUCCCCUGACCACGUAUGAAGUACGUUUCACCUCGGGUGACAGGGAGACAGGUGGUGCAUGGUUGUCGUCAGCUCGUGUCGUGAGAUGUUGGGUUAAGUCCCGCAACGAGCGCAACCCCUACGUUUAGUUGCUAACGCGUGAAGGCGAGCACUCUAGACGAACUGCCGUUGACAAAACGGAGGAAGGUGGGAUGACGUCAAAUCAUCAUGCCCCUUAUGUUCUGGGCUACACACGUGCUACAAUGGCCGGUACAGACGGACGCAAAGCCGCGAGGUGGAGCAAAUCCUAAAAAGCCGGUCUCAGUUCGGAUUGCAGGCUGCAAUUCGCCUGCAUGAAGUCGGAAUCGCUAGUAAUCGCAGGUCAGCAUACUGCGGUGAAUACGUUCCCGGGCCUU
rnacentral:rRNA from 1 species